UACGUAGGGGGCGAGCGUUGUCCGGAAUGACUGGGCGUAAAGGGCGCGUAGGCGGCCCGGUAAGUCUGAAGUGAAAGUCCUGCUUUUAAGGUGGGAAUUGCUUAGGAUACUGCCGGGCUUGAGUGCAGGAGAGGUAAGUGGAAUUCCCAGUGUAGCGGUGAAAUGCGUAGAGAUUGGGAGGAACACCAGUGGCGAAGGCGGCUUACUGGACUGUAACUGACGCUGAGGCUCGAAAGCGUGGGGAGCGAAC
rnacentral:rRNA from 1 species